CCUACGGGAGGCAGCAGUAGGGAAUAUUGGACAAUGGGGGCAACCCUGAUCCAGCCAUUCCGCGUGCAGGAAUAAGGCCCUAUGGGUCGUAAACUGCUUUUGUAUGGGAAAAAAUCAUCUUACGUGUAGGAUGUUGAUGGUACCAUGAGAAUAAGGAUCGGCUAACUUCGUGCCAGCAGCCGCGGUAAU
rnacentral:rRNA from 1 species